GGGGGCGAUCUGGCUUCGACGUGGGUAACAAAACCUGAGGUGCAUGCCGAGAGGGUAGUGACUCUCGUAAAACAAUCGCUGCAACUUCUUAUAGUUGCCAACGACGAAAACUACGCACUAGCGGCCUAAAACCCCGCUUACGUCAAUGAUCCGUGCCUGUGCGGUGAAAUUGACGGCAAGGUUCACAGGAUCGCGCGGCGGCCUCGCCCGGGGCCAAAGCGUUAAAACCAAUCGGGCUCGCCGACCGCACCCUGACCGUCGGGUCGCGAGAGGCUAAAUCAAUAGACGGAGCCUAAGCAUGUAGAGCCGAGGGUGGCGUGCCAACGGACGCGGGUUCAACUCCCGCCGCCUCCACCA
rnacentral:tmRNA from 1 species